UCGAACUGCAUCCACAAUGAGAGCGGGUCACCGCGUGCUGGUCGGGGGACGGACUGGGAACGGCUCCUUCGAAGGCCUUUCCCGAGCAUCGAACAGUCGACUCAGAACUGGUAUGGACAAGAAAAAUUCAACUGUUUAAUUAAAACAAAGCAUUGCGAUGGUCCUUGCGGAUGCUCAUGUAAUUUGAUAUCUGUCCAAUGCUCUGAAUGUCAAAGUGAAGAAAUUCAACUAAGCGCGGGUAAACGGUUGGAGUAACUAUAACUCUCUUAAGGUAGCCAAAUGCCUCGUCAUCUAAUUAGUGAUGUGCAUGAAUGGAUUAACCAGAUUCCCACUGUCCCUGUUUACUAUCAAGCAAAACCACAGCCAACGGAACGGGCUUGG
rnacentral:rRNA from 1 species